GACGUAGGGCGCGAGCGUUGUCCGGAUUUAUUGGGCGUAAAGAGCUCGUAGGCGGUCUGUCGCGUCUGCUGUGAAAACUGGGGGCUCAACCCCCAGCCUGCAGUGGGUACGGGCAGACUAGAGUGCGGUAGGGGAGAUUGGAACUCCUGGUGUAGCGGUGGAAUGCGCAGAUAUCAGGAAGAACACCGAUGGCGAAGGCAGAUCUCUGGGCCGUAACUGACGCUGAGGAGCGAAAGCAUGGGGAGCGAACAGG
rnacentral:rRNA from 1 species